rnacentral:rRNA from 1 species
GAUGAACGCUGGCGGCGUGCUUAACACAUGCAAGUCAACGGAGCGCUUAUGACGGAGUCUUCGGACAACUGAUUAAGUUGCUUAGUGGCGGACGGGUGAGUAACGCGUGAGGAACCUGCCUUGGAGUGGGGAAUAACACAGAGAAAUUUGUGCUAAUACCGCAUAAUGCAAUUGAGUCGCAUGGCUCUGAUUGCCAAAGAUUUAUCGCUCUAAGAUGGCCUCGCGUCUGAUUAGCUAGUUGGUGGGGUAACGGCCCACCAAGGCGACGAUCAGUAGCCGGACUGAGAGGUAGACCGGCCACAUUGGGACUGAGACACGGCCCAGACUCCUACGGGAGGCAGCAGUGGGGAAUAUUGGGCAAUGGGCGCAAGCCUGACCCAGCAACGCCGCGUGAAGGAAGAAGGCUUUCGGGUUGUAAACUUCUUUUAUGAGGGACGAUAGUGACGGUACCUCAUGAAUAAGCCACGGCUAACUACGGGCCAGCAGCCGCGGUAAAAC